AUGUACCACUCGUACACUCCGGUUCCUGCGCGCCGUCCACACCCGCCUGACGACUGCUCGCUACGUUUUUUUGUUAGCC
rnacentral:sRNA from 1 species